rnacentral:rRNA from 2 species
GUCAAAAGGGGAGAGCCCAAAUCAGAAAUUAAAGUUACAGAUUCAAUAAUUAAGUGUAAAAGGAGUAUGGGAUUUAGACAAUGAAGAGGUAGGCUUGGAGCCAGCCAUCUUUGAAAGAAUGCGUAGUAGUUCACUCAAGAACUCUUUUUCCCCAAAAAUUAUGGUGGCUAAAAAUUGAACUGAAAUUCUGAGGGCAGUAAGAAGUUUGCUUGGUAGUAGAACAGACUGUUAGAUGGUGGUGAGAACCCAAGAAUCAGAAGAGAUAAUGUGAACAUGAGUAAAAAAAUUGUUGCUUCAUCUCCCCUGGUUACCAAGCCUAAGGGUUUGGGUGAAACAGCCUCUAAGGAGGUUACCGAUGGGUGAUAAUAAUAAACGCAUAAAGUGCCAGGAAAUAAUUAUAAAUAAAUAUUACUGUUGCAAACUAACACAAGUGGGAGAUAGUGAGGGGAAAAGUUUUUUUAAGGAACUCGGCAAAUUUUUAGCUCUCAUUAGAGGGUUUAAACACAAGGCCUCGGCUGUUUACCAAAAACAUAGCUUUUUGCUAAUAUGAAGGUAGAAGUAUGAAAGGUGAGACCUGCCCAAUGGUUGUAUCUAAAAGGGUUGGUAAAGCCAACUUUAUAAAGACAAUUAAAUGGCCGCGGUAACACUGACCGUGAUAAUGUAGCGUAAUCAAUAGUCAAUUAAUUGUUGGCCGGUAUGAAUGGUGUCACGAGGGUCUCACUGUCUUAAGAAAAUGUCCAGUGAAAUUGAAUUUGUAGUGAAGAUGCUACAUCCAAAUUGUUAGACAAGAAGUCCCCAUGGAACUUUACUGGAAACUUAUGUGGCUUAAAUUAAUUUAUUUCUUACAAAUAAGUAGUUUUAAAAUGUGGUGUUAACCUCUUGGAUUAAUUGGGGUUAGAAAAGCUCACUCUUUUAUUUUAAGAAAGCCAACUCAAAAACUUAUGUCUUUGGGAUUGGAUAAGUGGGACAGUUUGGUUGGGGCGACCGCCUUUAAAAAAGUAACGAAGGCGGGCUUAAGAUAUAUUUUUAGUUAUGUCUGACUGCGAAGGGGGAAUCCUGAGCAGGCACUUAUUUUUAGGUGGGUUUAAGUGACCCGUUAAUUUAGGGUGAAAUAGUUAACGAUAAACAAAUAAAAGUUACCCUGGGGAUAACAGCGCAAUAACGUUUGAGAGUUUUCAUUGACGACGAUGUUUGCGACCUCGAUGUUGAAUUGCGGCAUCCUGGGGUGCAGUCGCUCCCAAGGGUUGGUCUGUUCGUCCAUUAAAGCCGUACAUGAUUUGAGUUAAAAGCGUGGUAACACAGCUUGGUUUCUAUCUACAAUUUGAAGAAACAUUGAUAUAACUAUUUUCUAGUACGAAAGGAUCGAAAAAUUAGUGGUUCUCUUAUUUUUAUAAGUUACAAUCAAUUGAUUGACUCGGAUACUUUUUGAAGGGGUCU